ACUUUUAGGAUGAACUGACAUGCUGACUGGGCACUAGACCUCCUCUCCUGACAUCAGUGUCUGACCUCACUAAUGAUCUUGUGCCUGAAUGGACAAAUCGCCACAGCCAUGCUCCAGAAUCUAGUGGAUAUCCUUCCCAGAAGAGUGGAGGUUAUUAUAACAGUAAAGGGAGAAUUAAAUCUGGAAUGGGAUGUUAAAAAAGCACAUAUGGGUGUGAUGGUCAGGUGUCUACAAGCAUUUGGCCAUAAUAGUAUAUUUCAGUGGUCUAGCCCUCCAUUACAGGGCCAAUUCUUCAGCCAGUACAAUUUGGAGGUGGAGGACCACCACCAGAUUCCCCUCCCCCUUUCCCAUAUUAGGUGUAAAAAUAUCACCAGAGCAAUUUGUCAUAGGCAAAGCAAUCAUGCAAAAAAAAAAAAGUAUGGCCAUCAGUUUUUUUAGACAAGUAUCGCCUACUUACCACUUUGUAUAAUAUUGGAUAUUUGGUCUAGACAGCCUAAUGCCAUUGGGAUUGCAGCUGAAAUUAGCAAUAACAAUUUACUGCUAAUUAUUUCAUUUACAAUUACUUUACAAGUGUCGUGUGAAUUGACAUAAAAUUGUCUGUUACAAAUUAUGCAUUUACGCGGUAAGCUAUUUUUUGAGCUAUUUGAGCCAAUGGGAGAUCCGCCCUUUUUAAAGUGAACGCGUGCAGGACUUGCUGAGGAAAGCCUGACUCAAUGUGUUGUUAACCCACAUUGUGAUACUUCAGUUAAUCCAGCUUGUGAAUAUUUGGUUAAGUGAAGAUGGCUACCAAACUGAAACUUCAAGUUUGUUGAGCUUGCUUCAGAAUGAAAUGGUUUCUGUGUCAGUGUUGUUGAAUUUGUGAACAUGUUCCACAAGGGGGCAACACAUGGACACAUAAUACACAGACAUCACACCUCAUAUGUCUCUUUGGGGCUCUCAGUCAUUAUUGCUGUGAUAGGACGGAUCACUGGCGGAGAUGAAGCGGCCUACAGGAGGGAGGUGGCCAGUCUUGUGACAUGGUGUGAGGACAACAACCUCACCCUCAACACGGACAAGACAAAGGAGAUGAUAGUGGACAUGAAGAAAGAGAGGAGAACUCACCAGCCACUGUUUAUCUGAGAGCUUGAAGUGGAGAGGGUGAGCAGCUUUAAAUAUUUGGGGGUCCACAUCAGCGAGGACCUCACCUGGACACUCAACACCACCCAGCUGGUUAAGAAAGUACAACAGCGGCUGCACUUCCUAAGGAGGCUGAGGAAGUUUGGCAUGUCACCUAAGAUCCUCAACAACUUCUACAGCUGUGUUGUUGAAAGCGUCUUGACCAGCUGCAUCACUGUGUGGUAUGGCAGCACUACAGUGAGGGAUCGCAAACGUCUGCAGAGAGUGGUGAAGACUGCUGAGAAGAUCAUCAGGACUCCACUGCCCUCUCUGCAGACUAUUUACCACUGCAGAGUCCACAGGAGAGCUGCCUCCAUCCUUAAGGACCCAACCCACCCACAAUACGGACUGUUCACACUCCUACCCUCAGGACGGAGGUACAGGAGUGUGAAAUGCAAGACUUCCAGACUAAGGAACUCCUUCUUCCCCUCAGCCAUUAGACUUUUAAAUGGGUAGCCAGUGGACACAGACUAGUCUCACAUAUCUCAUAGAAUAGGUGGACUGAACUGCUACAGCUCAAUUUGCACAUUUGUAAAUGUUACUGCUGCUAUUAUUAUUGUGUAGUUGCACUCAAUUUGCUACAGGCUACUGUACUAUUGUUUUGUACAUAAGUCAAUAUUGCACACAGAGAUAUACUACAUAUUACUGCUACAUGUGAACACAUUACUGUUACUACAUUUACUGUAAUAUUGUUUUGCACAAGUCGCUUUGAAUGUUGAAUGCAAGUUAGGGUAUCCCUGCUCUAACACAUCCGCUUCAACUUUAAUUAGCUGAUUAGAUUAGUUGGAUUAUUAGGACAGUGGGUAUUCCAGGAUCAGAAUCGGGCACCUGUGGUCUACAGGAAACACAAAAAACAUACUUUGCAUUUAGGGUGGUAUUCAGUGCCAGAAUAAUGUGUUUUCUAAUUAGCAUAAAUAUGUACCUAGAUGUAUCCUAUUAAACCAUCUGUCAUUACAACCAAGAAGAAUAAAGUUUUCAGGAAACCAUGCAAAACAUUGGGGGCUGGGGCAGGUCUACAGUGUUAUCUCUCGUCACUCAUCAUGUGUGACGGAUGAUAACAACACCCCUGCACCUCGUCACAACCCCAUCCGUCUCACAGACAAUGGCACUUCUUUGCAUUGAAACAAAGUUUCUUUCCUUGUUUGAGCUCACAGAAGGAAGUAGGUGCAAAUAAAAAACAGAGAUAGCAGCACUGCUGUGCUAUUCAUGACGGAAGAUGACUGUGCAAGGUUUUAAAAUGACAGUGACAGCCAACAGUCUGACCACUGCUUUGAAUCACAGCACAGCAUCAAAUCCAGCACUGGAAGCUUGUGGCCUGUUAGAGGUGCCAGCCCAUCCUUUUUUCAUUUUUUCCUACUCAAUAGUCUGCAUUGUUAGUUUGGCAUUGAACGCCAUCACCAUGCGAGUGUAUUACUGCACCGCUCUACGAUUUCAGUCCAGUGUCACCAUCUACCUAAAGAACCUGGCUGCAGCUGACUUCUUCCUCUGCCUUGUUCUGCCCUUGCGCAUUGCCAACUAUGCUAGCAAAUCAACAACGAUGCGACAAAUUUACUGCAAUUUUGGUGCUGCGGGCUUCUAUCUCAAUAUGUAUGCCAGCAUUCUCUUCAUGGAUUACAUCGCUGCAAACAGAUAUCUAAAGAUUGCUCAGCCGUUAGAGACUCAUGCUCUGCAGACAGCCCGUGCGGCACGCUGUAUCUCCAUUAUGACAUGGACUUCCUUAUCUGCAAUGGCUUUUAUUUACACUGUCGUGUUUCUGAGCACAUCCUGGGGGGCUGGUCCAAAUCCGCACGCAAUCGGCUGUGAGUCCUUACACAGCCAUCAGGUCAGCACGGUCUACAAGAUCAUCCACUGCUUUUCUGCACUUGUCUUCAUCUUUGUGCUGGUGUCCCUGAUCCUGUUCUAUUGGGGCACGGUGCGGACGCUUCGACACCCCCCCGUGCAGACCCAAAGGUGCCACCGUAAACUGAGCAGGUCUAAACGCAACAUGCUAGUGCUUGUGGUGGUGUUCUGUGUGUGCUUUGUGCCUUACCACAUAGUGAGGCUCCCUUAUGCCUUCCUAAAGCCCCUGUUACAGGGAUGUGGUACUACAGCCAAGUCGUUUUACAUUAUAAAGGAGAUCACAGUUUUGCUUUCAGUGCUCAAUGCUUGCAUGGAUCCACUGAUAUAUUUUGUCUUUUGCAAGGGAUUCCGGGAACAAAUAGGCAUCAGAAAAGUCCAAGCAUUCACUAGUCUAAGGUUGAGCACAGUCCGAAGAGAUAAAGGGAAACAAAGCAACACAGACACAGGGGAUUCACAUGUUAUGGUGAGAUGUGAAAGUGUCAAUCGACUGAAUAAUAUCCAACUGUGUCAGAUAGAACUGCAACCUACUGUCAUAAAUGAAAAAUAACAAUGAUAUUCAGCAGUGAAUACAGAGAUAGGUCACCAAAAAUAUAAUACCUUUAUAAUACUCAGUAAUGCCUUUACUGACUGUGAAUGUUAAAUGUUUUUUAUAAUUACUUUUUAUAUAACAGACUGAUGUAUCAUAGACAGUGAUAUUACAGUGUAUCAAGAUGUGAUUGAAGUGUAUACUUUCAGCUUUAAUUCAAGGGGUUUUAUUGUAUUAACACAUAAUACAUAUUGUAUUAACUAUUCAGGAAUUACAGCCAUUUUUUUUACAGUCUUCCAUUUUCACAGGCUCAAAUUUAAUUGGACAAUUACCUGAUAAUCAGUUUCAUGGUGAGGUGUGGCCUGGUUCCUCAUUAUUUCAUGACAACUUAAGGAAAUAAAAGGUUUGGAGUUGAUUCCUAGUGUUUAAUUGGCAUUUAGUAGCUGUUAAAUAGUUAAAAAAAAAAUUUUAGUUAAACCUGGAUUAAAGCUGCAUGUCUACACUUCAGUCACAUCUUGAUUGCUUCAUUUCAAAUCCAUUGUGGCGGUGUAAAUUAUGAGGAGGCAAAAUUAUGAAAAUUGUGUCAUUGUCCAAAUACUUAUGAACCCGAUUGCAUAUAAACCAUGAUCAUUAUGUUUAUUUAUUGUCAUAUUAAAAAUGUGAAUGUAUAAUAUACAGUAUUUAUGCAAUUAAUGUUGCUCCGUUUCCUGUUUAGAACUUUUUAGAAAACUGACUCAUGAAAUGUAAAAAAUGUAAAAAAAUAAAAAAAAUUUAAAAAUGACUUACUUGCUUACAGUCACUUUACUGCACAAGAAAUGAAUAAUUCUAUUAAUGUACUGUAAGAUUCAGAGUCAUAGUGGAAACAAGCCAAUAGCUGUGGUGCUUUCCCCAGGCGGAUCUGACACAACUUCCCCAAUUUCAGUUUUAUCAAAGCUUCAUCUCCUGAGCAGUUUGGGCUUCUGCCAAACGGACCAAGCUUUUAACCUCACUUACAUAAAGAACAGAGUGACACAAUGAUUUGCUUUUGUUCAUGACGCCCUGUGGCACGAAGACUACAUGUCGAGUUCGUGUGCUUAAACUUGUGACGAGUAUGUUGUGGUUUUUCUUCAGAGAAUUGGAAAGUUUGGGUUUCCGAGACGUCACUUCACCACACAGUUUGGCUAACGCCCUCUUUUGCGUCGUAGAACGUAAUUGGUGUUAGAUUCAAAGAAAUGAGGCCACACCAUAGUAGGCAGUAGAAUUACUGAAGAAAUUAUAAAGGAAGUGGUUGUUAGCAGAGACAACAUGCUGCCAGAGACGAAGAGCAGCUGAACAUGUGGCUUCCAUCAAGCUGCAAGACAGUUUUUCACCACUUCCUUCCUUAAGUCUGGAUCACGUUUGCUCAGAUUCAGUUGUCUGACUACUUCUAGGGGUCCAACAAGCUUACAACAAAGAAAGACUCCGUUCAACACCUUAUCAAGGUCCCUUGUAAUGACAUCAACUCAUCCAACACACUGGAUAAAUUGUGAUACACUCUAAGUUACUUCUACACCACCUUUUUCCAAAA